rnacentral:tRNA from 1 species
AUCCCUAUAGUUUAAUGGAUAAAACGCUUGGCUACGAACCAAGAGACUUGGAGAUUCGAGUUCUUCUAGGGAUG